UCUCGAUAGCGUAAAAGUUAACUCAAAUUUGUAUGGAGUUGGAACGCUUGCCUACGUUGUUGUUGUUUGCCGCUAGGGGCGCUGUUCCAACUCCAUACAAAAUUGCGUUAAAAUUUACGCUAUCGA
rnacentral:pre_miRNA from 9 species